rnacentral:rRNA from 1 species
AGAGUUUGAUCCUGGCUCAGGACGAACGCUGGCGGCGUGCUUAACACAUGCAAGUCGAACGGAUCCAGUAGCAAUAUUGGGUUAGUGGCGAACGGGUGAGUAACACGUGACUAAUCUGCCCCGGACUGGGGAAUAACGUCGGGAAACUGACGCUAAAACCGCAUAUUGAGCGCGGGUUGCAUGACCUGCGCUUGAAAGAUUUAUCGGUCCGGGAUGAGGUCGCGCCCCAUUAGCUUGUUGGUAGGGUAACGGCCUACCAAGGCGACGAUGGGUAGCUGGUCUGAGAGGAUGAUCAGCCACACUGGGACUGAGAUACGGCCCAGACUCCUAUGGGAGGCAGCAGUGAGGAAUAUUGCGCAAUGGGCGAAAGCCUGACGCAGCAACGCCGCGUGGGGGAUGAAGGUGGUUUCCAUUGUAAACCCCUGUAGGGAGGGACGAACAAGCUGGUUUUGCCGGCUUUGACGGUACCUCCAAAGUAAGCACCGGCUAACUCCGUGCCAGCAGCCGCGGUAAUACGGAGGGUGCAAGCGUUGUCCGGAUUUACUGGGUGUAAAGGGCGUGUAGGCGGAGAGAUUUGUCGGAAGUGAAAUCGUGCGGCUUAACCGUAGCAAUUGCUUCCGAAACGGUCUCCCUUGAGUUCGGAAGAGGCAGAUGGAAUACCAGGCGUAGCGGUGGAAUGCGUAGAUAUCUGGUAGAACACCGGAGGCGAAGGCGGUCUGCUGGUCCGAAACUGACGCUGAGGCGCGAAAGUGUGGGUAGCGAACAGGAUUAGAUACCCUGGUAGUCC